rfam:Coriobacterium glomerans PW2, complete genome.
CGGGAAGAUGUCACGGGCGCACGGCGGAUGCCUUGGCACAGGGAGCCGACGAAGGACGCGACAAGCUGCGAUAAGCCGCGGUGAGGGGCACAUGCCCUGCGACCCGCGGAUCUCCGAAUGGGCGAACCCGCAUGGAGCAGUCCAUGCAUCCCGGGCCCGAACACAUAGGGCCCGGGAGGACAACCCGGGGAACUGAAACAUCUAAGUACCCGGAGGAGAGGAAAUCAAUUUCGAGAUCCCCCAAGUAGCGGCGAGCGAACGGGGGCCUAGGCCAAACCUGGGAGCGCCGACGGGCCGGAGGGGCCCGGCGCCCCGGGGGUUGCAGGGCCGCGCGCGGCAGGGCCUUCCGCCCUGCCCGGGGAGGCAUCGAGGGGAGCCGAACGGCAUGGGAAGGCCGACGGCACAGGGUUAGAGUCCCGUAGGCGCACCCUCGGAUGUCCCCCGAACGCGGUCCCUGAGUAGGGCCGGGCACGUGAAACCCGGUCCGAAUCUGGGUGGACCACCAUCCAAGCCUGAAUACUCCCCUGUGACCGAUAGCGAACGAGUACCGUGAGGGAAAGGUGAAAAGCACCCCGGGAGGGGAGUGAAACAGCACCUGAAACCGUGCGCCCACAAGCAGUCGGAGCGGCCCCUUCGGGAGCCGUGACGGCGUGCCUUUUGUAGAAUGAGCCAGCGAGCUGCCGGCGCGGGGCGAGGCGAAGCUUUGAAGCGAGCCGCAGCGAAAGCGAGUCCGAACAGGGCGACCGUGAAGUCCCGCGCCGCAGGCGCGAAGCCGGGUGAGCUAUCCGCGGGCAGGCUGAAGCGGGGGUAAGACCCCGUGGAGGGCCGAACGCACGUCGGUUGAAAACGGCGGCGAUGACCCGCGGAUAGGGGUGAAAGGCCAAUCAAACCCGGAGAUAUCUCGUUCUCCCCGAAAUAGCUUUAGGGCUAGCGUCGCGCGAUCGCCGCCGGAGGUAGAGCACCGGAUCGGUGAGGGGGCCUCACCGCCUGCCGAGCCGAACCGAACUCCGAAUGCCGGCGGCCGCGAGCGCGGCAGUCAGAGCGCGUGGGCUAAGCCGCGCGCUCGAGAGGGAAACAGCCCAGACCGCCCGCUAAGGUCCCCAAUUCCCGGCUGAGUGGCAAAGGAUGUGCGUCCGCGCAGACAACCAGGAUGUUGGCUCAGAAGCAGCCACGCAUUGAAAGAGUGCGUAACAGCUCACUGGUCGAGUGGACAUGCGCCGACAAUACACGGGGCUAAGCCGGGAACCGAAGCGGCGGACGGCGCCACUGACGUGGCGUCGUGGUAGGGGAGCGUCCCGAGCGGGGCGAAGCCGGCGGGCGACCGCCGGUGGACCGCCCGGGAGCGAGAAUGCUGGCAUGAGUAGCGAGAGACGAGAGAGAAACUCGUCCGCCGUAAACCCGAGGUUUCCUGGGCGAGGCUAAUCCUCCCAGGGUCAGUCGGGGGCUAAGGCGAGGCCGGAAGGCGUAGCCGAUGCGCAGCAGGCGAAUAUUCCUGCACCGCGCGCGCGCCGCGUGACCGACGGGGCGACGGAUCGGGGUAGCUCGGCGGGGUUCUGGACGUCCCCGUGAUGGAGCGCGGCCCGACGGGGAGGGAAAUCCCCCCGUCAUGAGGGCGAGGCUCCGGACGAAGCGACUGAGUGAAGCGAGCGAGCCCGGGUCCCGAGAAAAACCCCUAAGGAAGGCGCGCGCGCGCCCGUACCGCAAACCGACACAGGUGGGUGGGUAGAACAUACCGAGGCGAUCGGGUCAACCAUGGUCAAGGAACUCGGCACAAUGGCCCCGUAACCUAGGGAGAAGGGGUGCCGCGUCAUCGUGGAGGGGCUCAGCCCCCCGAGCGAGAGGCGGCCGCAGUGAAGAGGCCCAAGCGACUGUUUACCAAAAACACAGGACUCUGCACAAGCCGAAAGGCGACGCAUAGGGUCUGACGCCUGCCCGGUGCCGGAAGGUCACGCGGAGGGGUCAGCGCGCGAGCGCGAAGCCCCGAAGCCAAGCCCCGGUAAACGGCGGCCGUAACUAUAACGGUCCUAAGGUAGCGAAAUUCCUUGUCGGGUAAGUUCCGACCUGCACGAACGGCGCAACGACUUGGGCGCUGUCUCGACCAUGGUCCCGGUGAAAUUGCACUGGUCGUGAAGAUGCGACCUUCCCGCGGAAGGACGGAAAGACCCCGUGAACCUUCACUGCAGCUUGGCAUUGGCCGCCGAGCGCGCGCGUAGAGGAUAGGUGGGAGGCAUCGAUGCCGGGGCGCCAGCCCCGGCGGAGCCGCCCUUGGAAUACCACCCCCGCGCGCCCGGCGUCCUAACCUGCGGCCGCGAUCCGGCGCAGGGACCGUGCCAGGUGGGCAGUUUGACUGGGGCGGUCGCCUCCUAAAGAGUAACGGAGGCGCGCGAAGGUCCGCUCGGGACGGUCGGCAACCGUCCUUGAGAGUGCAAGAGCGCAAGCGGGCCUGACUGCGAGACGGACACGUCGAGCAGAUGCGAAAGCAGGCUCUAGUGAUCCGGCGGCCCCAUGUGGGCGGGCCGUCGCUCAACGGAUAAAAGGUACUCCGGGGAUAACAGGCUGAUCUUGCCCAAGAGUCCACAUCGACGGCAAGGUUUGGCACCUCGAUGUCGGCUCAUCGCAUCCUGGGGCUGGAGCAGGUCCCAAGGGUACGGCUGUUCGCCGUUUAAAGCGGUACGCGAGCUGGGUUCAGAACGUCGUGAGACAGUUCGGUCCCUAUCCUCCGCGGGCGCAGGAGAAUCGAGGGAGGCUGCCCCCAGUACGAGAGGACCGGGGUGGACGGACCUCCGGUGCACGGGUUGUCGACCAACGGCAUCGCCCGGUAGCCGCGUCCGGCACGGAUAACCGCUGAAGGCAUAUAAGCGGGAAGCCGUUCCCGAGAUGAGUUCUCCUUAUGGUAAGGGCCCAGGCAGAACACCUGGUCGAUAGGCCGCAGGUGCAAGGGGCGCGAGCCCCUCAGCCGAGCGGCACUAAUCGCCCGAGCUCUUACCCGCA